CGGCUGCUGGCUCGGCUGCGCGGACCUGAGUUUGGAUCGCGGGGGCAGACGCCUGCGGUUCCGCUGCCGGCUCGGAUGCCGGCGCGGCUGC
rnacentral:tRNA from 1 species